rnacentral:rRNA from 1 species
AGCUACGGCCGUGUGGCGCGUUGGAUACACCCGAUCCCUCAAUCUCGGAAGUUAAGCAACGCGUAGUCUGGUCAGUUCUUGGAUGGGCGACCAACCAAGGACGACCGGAUGCUGUAGCCG